rnacentral:rRNA from 1 species
AUUGAACGCUGGCGGCAGGCCUAACACAUGCAAGUCGAACGAGAGGCGGACGGGUGAGUAAUGUCUGGGAAACUGCCUGAUGGAGGGGGAUAACUACUGGAAACGGUAGCUAAUACCGCAUCCCAUCAGAUGUGCCCAGAGGGGAUUAGCUAGUUGGUGGGGUAACGGCUCACCAAGGCGACGAUCCCUAGCUGGUCUGAGAGGAUGAACACCAACACUGGAACUGAGACACGGUCCAGACUCCUACGGGAGGCAACAGUGGGGAAUAUUGCACAAUUGGCGCAAGCCUGAUGCAGCCAUGCCUCGUGUAUGAGGAAGGCCUUCGGGUUGUAAAGUACUUUCGGCGGGGAGGCUUUGCCCGCCGAAGAAGCACCGGCUAACUCCGUGCCAGCAGCCGCGGUACUUC